rnacentral:rRNA from 1 species
AACACGAAAGUGGACGUAUAGGGUGUGACGCCUGCCCGGUGCUGGAAGGUUAAUUGAAGAUGUGAGAGCAUCGGAUCGAAGCCCCAGUAAACGGCGGCCGUAACUAUAACGGUCCUAAGGUAGCGAAAUUCCUUGUCGGGUAAGUUCCGACCCGCACGAAUGGCGUAACGAUGGCCACACUGUCUCCUCCCGAGACUCAGCGAAGUUGAAGUGGUUGUGAAGAUGCAAUCUACCCGCUGCUAGACGGAAAGACCCCGUGAACCUUUACUGUAGCUUUGCAUUGGACUUUGAAGUCACUUGUGUAGGAUAGGUGGGAGGCUUAGAAGCAGAGACGCCAGUCUCUGUGGAGCCGUCCUUGAAAUACCACCCUGGUGUCUUUGAGGUUCUAACCCAGACCCGUAAUCCGGGUCGGGGACCGUGCAUGGUAGGCAGUUUGACUGGGGCGGUCUCCUCCCAAAGAGUAACGGAGGAGUUCGAAGGUUACCUAGGUCCGGUCGGAAAUCGGACUGAUAGUGCAAUGGCAAAAGGUAGCUUAACUGCGAGACCGACAAGUCGAGCAGGUGCGAAAGCAGGACAUAGUGAUCCGGUGGUUCUGUAUGGAAGGGCCAUCGCUCAACGGAUAAAAGGUACUCCGGGGAUAACAGGCUGAUUCCGCCCAAGAGUUCAUAUCGACGGCGGAGUUUGGCACCUCGAUGUCGGCUCAUCACAUCCUGGGGCUGUAGUCGGUCCCAAGGGUAUGGCUGUUCGCCAUUUAAAGUGGUACGUGAGCUGGGUUUAAAACGUCGUGAGACAGUUUGGUCCCUAUCUGCAGUGGGCGUUGGAAGUUUGACGGGGGCUGCUCCUAGUACGAGAGGACCGGAGUGGACGAACCUCUGGUGUACCGGUUGUAACGCCAGUUGCAUAGCCGGGUAGCUAAGUUCGGAAGAGAUAAGCGCUGAAAGCAUCUAAGCGCGAAACUCGCCUGAAGAUGAGACUUCCCUUGCGGUUUAACCGCACUAAAGAGUCGUUCGAGACCAGGACGUUGAUAGGUGGGGUGUGGAAGCGCGGUAACGCGUGAAGCUAACCCAUACUAAUUGCUCGUGAGGCUUGACUCU